UGCAGUCGAACGCUGAAGCCCCAGCUUGCUGGGGUGGAUGAGUGGCGAACGGGUGAGUAACACGUGAGUAACCUGCCCCUGACUUCGGGAUAAGCCCGGGAAACUGGGUCUAAUACCGGAUACGACCGGCCCUCGCAUGUGGGUUGGUGGAAAGUUUUUUCGGUUGGGGAUGGGCUCGCGGCCUAUCAGUUUGUUGGUGAGGUAAUGGCUCACCAAGACGACGACGGGUAGCCGGCCUGAGAGGGCGACCGGCCACACUGGGACUGAGACACGGCCCAGACUCCUACGGGAGGCAGCAGUGGGGAAUAUUGCACAAUGGGGGAAACCCUGAUGCAGCGACGCAGCGUGCGGGAUGACGGCCUUCGGGUUGUAAACCGCUUUCAGCAGGGAAGAAGCGAAAGUGACGGUACCUGCAGAAGAAGUACCGGCUAACUACGUGCCAGCAGCCGCGGUAAUACGUAGGGUACGAGCGUUGUCCGGAAUUAUUGGGCGUAAAGAGCUCGUAGGUGGUUGGUCACGUCUGCUGUGGAAACGCAACGCUUAACGUUGCGCGUGCAGUGGGUACGGGCUGACUAGAGUGCAGUAGGGGAGUCUGGAAUUCCUGGUGUAGCGGUGAAAUGCGCAGAUAUCAGGAGGAACACCGGUGGCGAAGGCGGGACUCUGGGCUGUAACUGACACUGAGGAGCGAAAGCAUGGGGAGCGAACAGGAUUAGAUACCCUGGUAGUCCAUGCCGUAAACGUUGGGCACUAGGUGUGGGGGACAUUCCACGUUCUCCGCGCCGUAGCUAACGCAUUAAGUG
rnacentral:rRNA from 1 species